rnacentral:rRNA from 1 species
CCUACGGGAGGCAGCAGUGGGGAAUAUUGGUCAAUGGGCGCGAGCCUGAACCAGCCAAGUAGCGUGAAGGAUGACUGCCCUACGGGUUGUAAACUUCUUUUAUAAAGGAGUAAAGUGAGGCACGUGUGCCUUUUUGUAUGUACUUUAUGAAUAAAGCUCGGCUAACUCCGUGCCAGCAGCCGCGGUAAUACGGAGUAUCCGGGCGUUAGCCGGAUUUAGUGGGUUUAAAGGGAGCGUAGAUGGGUUGGUAAGUCAGUUGUGAAAGUUUGCGGCUCAACCGUAAAAUUGCAAUUGAUACUGGCAGGCUUGAGUACAGGUGAGGUAGGCGGAAUGCGUGGUGUAGCGGUGAAAUGCGUAGAUAUCACGAAGAACUCCGAUUGCGAAGGCAGCUUACUAAACUGUAACUGACAUUGAUGCUCGAAAGUGUGGGUAUCAAACAGGAUUAGAUACCCCAGUAGUC